rnacentral:rRNA from 1 species
UACGGAGGGUGCGAGCGUUGUCCGGAAUUACUGGGCGUAAAGCGCGCGCAGGCGGUCUUCCAAGUCAGUGGUGAAAGCCCGGAGCUCAACUCCGGAACUGCCAUUGAAACUGUUGGACUUGAGUACGAGAGAGGUGAGUGGAAUUCCCAGUGUAGAGGUGAAAUUCGUAGAUAUUGGGAAGAACACCGGUGGCGAAGGCGGCUCACUGGCUCGUAACUGACGCUCAGGCGCGACAGCGUGGGGAUCAAACAGG